UACGGAGGAUGCGAGCGUUAUCCGGAUUUAUUGGGUUUAAAGGGUGCGUAGGCGGUCCGUUAAGUCAGCGGUAAAAUUGCGGGGCUCAACCCCGUCGAGCCGUUUGAACUGGCGCGCUUGAGUUCAGGCGAGGUAGGCGGAAUGCGUGGUGUAGCGGUGAAAUGCAUAGAUAUCACGCAGAACCCCGAUUGCGAAGGCAGCAUACCGGCGCCCUACUGACGCUGAGGCACGAAAGUGCGGGUAUCGAACAGG
rnacentral:rRNA from 1 species